CAUUUCCAAAAUGGUUCGACAUUCUAUAAAUGACAGUUUAUGUGCCUAUAAUAUGCAUCUGGUGAAAUGCGUAUUUUCCUUUCAGAAGGUGUUUCCAUUACGGUUAUUCUGAACAUCACGUGAUCUUACAGUUGCUAGGGUAACUCCAUCUUUUUUAAAGGAGAACAACAGAGUAAAUAAGCACGUAAAUCGACUUUGGUGCUAUGUAAAUUCUAGUGAAUCUCUUAUCGUUACCUUGACGAUAAAAAAGCUGGCAUUUAUCUUCUCUGGCCCCCAGCACGCUUUAGUUUGAACUUAAAUUUUAUAAAAUACACGUGUGGGUAUGCCAAAGGCUCUACAGAUAUCCAGGAAGCAGUGCUGGUCAAGCGAUAUGUUCAACAGGCAAGGCCGCCUGGACAAUGACGAUGGGUCACAGAAGAACCAGGGGAGGGAGUAAAUGGGAGACCAGAUGUUCAGAGUCAAGAGGUAAUACCUGUCAAUUAUGGGCUAUCACUCAGUAAGCCUACUCAGGUGGCACGUGAGCUUCUGGAACAGCCGGAAACCUUGUCAACUGUCCAGGUAGUUUGUCCACCUGAAGUCUCACCUAUGACUUCUCUGGAUCCUUUGGCAUCCUAGCACUGAAAUCUGCAAAGCUGCUUAUGUACUUUCUGUAAGGUGAAAAUUACGGAUGCAGCACCUGUGAUUAAGUCAUGAUGGCUGGAAGUAAAUCUUGGUGAAUAUUUCUAAAUGUUUUCCACAUUUCCCAUACAGAGGUUUGAUAAUUUGUUCACCUAGUUUCCAUUUUAUAAUUGAGGUUGGCAGUGGAGACCAAGACUCGAUGUGGUGUGGGUCAAUUUGGAAGAAUUACUUCGAAGAAAAUGAGAAAGAAACACUCAAAUGAAAUCCCUUUUGAGGAAGGAGAUA
rnacentral:lncRNA from 1 species